UGACUCUCAGGGCAAGGACGCGCUCAACAAACACCAGCGUUAUUUAUUACCCUCACGAGCGGCUGGACCUUUGAGCCGCCGUUGGGUUUUCUCAGCCGCAAAAUAGGGCACUGUGCCAAGCAGCUCACAUGGGUCCUGGCCACUAAGGCCUGUGCAGCCUGGGGCAGGUCACUCACCAUCUCUGAGCUUCGGUCAUCUGUGAAAUGGGUUGAAGCGCGCCCGCCUCACGGAGCCGCGACGCGGAUUCAGUGAGUUCCCGCGGCAGCCGCCUGAGCGAAGGCUGGCUGGAUUUUGGUAUUCUUUGCAUACGUCGUCCAUGGACUCUUCACAACGCCCCUGAAGGUGGGAUUAACUGUCCUCUUCCUCAUCUCACCCCUGGUUUUGGGGAGAAAGUGAAAACUGAGAGGGUAAAUCAGUGGCUCCUGAGUGCGGAUCUGACCUCAUGCAAACGCACGUGGAGAACACGAGAUGGAGCACGUUCUGGGGCUGGUCUGCAGAGGAUGACGCCGUGAGUCCAGGACGGGCCCGGCGACGUGUCUGUAGCAGGGGCCGGACCCCGGGUCACCCGGAAGCAGGGAGCCGGGUUAGGCCCUUUGGCAGAGGCCACACAGCAACAUCUGAACGUCGAGGAAGAUUGGCCCUGAGCUAACAUCUGCUGCCAAUCCUCCUCUUUUUGCUGGGGAAGACCGGCCCUGAGCUCACAUCCGUGCCCAUCUUCCUCUACUUUAUAUGUGGGAUGCCUACCACAGCAUGGCUUGCCAAGCGGUGCCAUGUCCACACCCGGGAUCUGAACCUGUGAACCCCGGGCUGCCGAGAAGCAGAACAUGUGAACUUAACCACUGUGCUACCAGACCGGCCCCCCUGCAGAGGAUGUUAAACCCCAAAGCCAUGGGGAAGUCACCUUCCUCCAGGGGCCGUCGGCCUGACACUGGGCUCCGUUGGGGGGAUUCUCGAACACGCAGGAAGGGCAGCCCCUCAGCACACACAGCCAGCAUCAUUAGCACGUUUCCAGGAUGCUGCGGAGAGAAAUAUGCAGGAACCAUGUGCCCCACGAGGACAGGCCAGAAAAGCCGGCCUCUGUAUAGAGGGGGCUGGCAGGACACCUUCCGGGGACAAGCUCCAGGCCCGGGUGCAGGAACCAGAAACGGUGUCUCCUCCGGGCGGAUGUAUGUUCCCUUCUAUUACUGGCCGGCGAAUAAAUAACCGGAAAGCUGUUUACCCUGUGAGGGAAUGAACCUCUGUUUCAUUUGAGGAGUUAUAAAAAACCUCCCCAGACGCAAGCCCGGGCCGGGGGAAGCGUUUCUCCCGGUCGCCGUCACGGAGUGAGCUGGACAGACGGCGUGGACGCUGGUGGAAACCGGAGGAUUCCCAGGAGACGGCGCAGGGGCCGUGGCACCCCCUGGACAGUCACCUCCUG
rnacentral:lncRNA from 1 species